UCUGCCAUCUCCAUCCCAGCUCUCAGCAUCUGCCACAUCGAUUUCCCCCCAAAUCUCACCUCCUCAACGUCGUCUAUAGCUCUGCUGCAACACACCAGGCCCAUGGCAUCUAAAUGCAGCUGCAAGUACACGACUGGGUCGUGCAACAGCUGUGUGUGUGUGUGCCCAGGAAGGUAGAACCGGCAGCAACUGCAUCAGAGCUACAGGUGCACAAAUAAGACGACAUCCAUUUAUUUAGGAGGCCUGCAGAGCUAACUGUCUUCAGAUUGAUGGAUUUCAGAUAGAGUUGACACCUUUGAUUCCAACCCCACCAGGUGCAGCCUCUUCGUCAGCCACCCCAGAAACCACGGCGUCCAGAGAAAAUUAUUUGGGAGGCCUCCCUGCGCGUACCACCAAAGGGGAUAUCAGGGAGCCCUCCAUUGUUUUGGCAGCACCAGCGUUAGUCAUUAUUAAGGGUGGUGGUUCGACAACUUAACUUAUGCUAUACUUCUCUCUUGUACAGAGUCUGGUCUUACCAGGAGGGAGAAAAGGAAGGGGGCACACUUCCGCUCAUAAUCGCUAUAAAAGAGCGGGCAGUGCUGGUGCUGAACAAUCAGCAACUAAAACAGAGUGGACUCGACUAUCUUCAACUGCCUCACCUCACAUCAGAAAACUGAUCUAUACACCUCACAUCAGCAUGGUAUGCUGCAGAUGUAAAAAAGGACUAUGUAGCGGGUGUGUGUGUGCCCAGGGGGGCAAUUCAAACCCUGUACAAAUUGUUGCAGCACAAGAUGCUCAAACCAGGCUAGUUCUUCCACCCAGUGUGCCGCACUACUCCCGAACCCACCAGCCCUAGCUAGGGGCCUGACCCUACGGUUGAAGCGUUGCGUACCCGCUAGUCAGCUAGUGCCCCCUCCACCUAAGAGGAAACGUUCAAGAAAUUUACUUGGGAGGCCUCCCUCCCCGCACCACAAGGGGGACAUAAGAAUUGCCCUCCAUUGUUUUGGAGGAACCAGCUCGGUGGACAUCCCAUGGGCGAAGGGAAGGGAGGGACGCCUUUGUUCUCUACCCCACCUCCUGAGCAGCCACAAACAUCCCUGCAGGUUCAUCUGGUCCAUCAGCAGAAACCAUCCCAAAAAAUGCAUUUGGGCGGCCUUUAUCCAGGCGUGACUAUAUAGGAGAGGUUAAGGAGGCCCUCCUAAUCCUCCCUUGUUUCGGGGAAAGCAUUAGAAGAACCCCAAGACAAACACAAAGACAGCUGGUUUCACGCCCGAGGAGAGACAGGACUUCACAGAGCUACUGGAGGAGAGUUUCGUGGACACCUUCCGUCACCUGUAUCCCGACCUCGCUGGAGCGUACACUUACCAGUUCAACGCCAGAGCCAAGAACACUGGCUGGAGACUGGAUUAUUUUGUGGUGUCUGAGCGGCUCCUCCCUCAUGUAACUGAUGUGGUGAUUCGUAAGGAGGUGUUUGGGAGCGACCGUUGCCCAUUGGUGAUUGGAUUGACAGACCACACCCACAAGAGAAGGACGAACCCUGAAUUGAUUGGCUAUCACUAGCUGUAUUUAGCUAUUAUACGUCUAUCUAACAUAGAAUGCAAACAAAUAACAGUUAAUGUGAGCACUUUUACUUAAUAUGUUCUGGUGAUGACUACGUUUUUCAUCUUUCUCCCUCUAUUUUCUGUCUGGUUGCCAUGGUGUUGCAAAAUGUCCA